rnacentral:rRNA from 1 species
UACGUAGGGGGGCGAGCGUUGUCCGGAUUUUUAUUGGGCGUAAAGAGCGUGUAGGCGGCCAGGUAGGUCUGCUGUGAAAACUCGAGGCUCAACCUCGAGACGUCGGCGGAAACCAUCUGGCUAGAGUCCGGAAGAGGAGAGUGGAAUUCCUGGUGUAGCGGUGAAAUGCGCAGAUAUCAGGAAGAACACCCGUGGCGAAGGCGGCUCUGUCGGGUACGGU